UGAUCUCUUCUUGAUAGGUGGAAAACCGGGUCAACAAUCACAUGAUUUAUAGGUUGUGACACGUGUGCGCAUCAGUGUAUCUGCAUUUUUAGCUUCAGCCUCGGUUGUCAAACUCUCUUUUGACGACGGAGGAGAUGAGAAAUGAUUCAGUUACCAGCGGUCUCUAAUUCGCUUGGUGCAGGUCGGGAACUGAUUAGCUGCUAUUUUUGUUCUUUUCAAUUUAUCGAUUAAAAUAUUUUAGCCAUGCGGCCGAUUGAUAUUGGUGGAAUAAUUGAAUGAAGAAAAAGCAAAUUAGAUCCCGCCUUGCAUCAACUGAAUCGGAGACCGAGGUGAGAGGUUGUAUGGAUCUUGUUUUUUAUCUUCAGAUCUCAGGUUUACAUACCAGAACUUCUAUUCUUGGUAGAUGGAUUAGUCUUUCCUGACAUAGAAUUUCAAUUUGUUAGAUUCCAUAAAUUGCACUAGAAAAUGAGUCCAAUCAUGGCCCAAAAAAGUAGCAUUUGUUUCAUCUUCUCAUUACAUCAUUGGUCAAUAUUUAUUCAUUUGAGCUUUAUAAUGGCUAUUUCUGCAUGUUGAAAGUUUCAUUUACCCCAAGUGCUCAAGCUUCAAUUUUGGCAGAAUGUUCUGUUUGUAUUGACUACUGAACUCUGUUAGACUUAAAGUUCACGAGGUGAGGCUCUUAGACAUUAAGCUUUAUUGGUGUUGAACGUUCACACCUUAUUGGUGUUGUUGUAUUAGAGUUUGCUUUGCCAGAGAGUAAUCUUCUUUUUCUUUGGCAAUUCUUUUUCUCUAACCAUAUUUAUCUUCUUCUUUAAUGAUAUUGUUAUUAGCUUAGCAAGCUAAACUUGAUAUUGAGUUAGCCAUUUUAGAUUUGAGUUGAGUCCUAAUUGGCAUUUGGGUUUAGUUCUACACAAAUCUUAUCUUUUUUGGUAAUUAGUUCCUCAAAAAUUCACUCUUAUUAAUAGCUUUUUCCUAUGUUAAAAGUCUUAGUGGUCAAUAUCUUGAAAUGUCAUUCUGUUUUAAUUUGAUUAUAAAUUCAAAUUAUCAAUAAAAUUAUGUGUAUUAGGACUAAUUUAGGUUUCAACGAUAGUGUGUUAUUAUGUGUUUAAAAGAUUUUGAAUUAAUGGUAAAGUAACAUUCAAUAACAUGGUAACUGGUCAUCAUUGAUAUUUAACAUAUUACUCUUUAGAUUAUAUCUUAUUGUUUAAUUUGCUUACUCUUCAGAGUAUAUCUGAUUGUUUAAUUUUGCAAUUAGGAAGCAUUGGGUUUCAUUCUUUCAAUAUGAAAUUGACAAAGAAAUGGAAUCGGUUUCUCUUCUCGUUUUUAAUGCAAACAUUUGUAUGUUCCGCCUAGCUACACCACAAAAUAUGUCGUAUAAGAAAACCCAAUCUUUCUAUAAACAUGGGGAUUUUUGCUUAAGGUGAUAUUUGACCUUAUAGCUAAUGCUUCUAGUUCGUUCAUUCGCGAGAGAGCGACACAUCAUUUUUACUUACGAAUUCGCCAAAUAAUCCUCUAUCAAAGAGGUCUUCUAUGACCUUCAGAAGAUCCUAACAUUGGUUGAUACUGUAACCAAGAUCAUGAUGAUUAUAGCAUAAUUUUUUGUGAUCGCCACAGAUACUAUCUCCCUUCAUUGCUCGUGGUUGUAAUUAUAUCUUUUGCUUAAUAGUUGCAUAAAUUUGACUAACAAAGGCAUUCACAAAAUAUUUGUUAUUCAAAUUAGGGUUCUUCUUGCGUUUUUUCACUCUAGAUCUUCUGGAUUCCCUUGUUAUUCUUCAUUGAGAUUUCUUCUCAAGUCACCUCCAUUGGUUGCCAAGGAGCUUGGAAUAAUCAAUUAGGAGUCAAUGGAAGGUGUUUCCAGAUAGGUUGAAGGAAUACCUUCUCCCAUUUUGUUUUCCUUGUAAGUCUUUGUUAUCGGGGUAUCAAGAUAUAAAAUGAAGCUUUCUGACAUCAUAUGGGAUGGGGGGUGUUUGAUCAUCUUCUCCUAAAAGGCCCGGGGAGCAUUUAGGUAGUCACACAUGUCUAGUUUAUAGGUUUGAUGACUUGUUCUUGCAUGUGAUCCAAGAUUGGUUAUAACACUAAUGUCUGUGGACACAAAGCGGAUGUUAUUGUAUAGAUGGGAGACUUGCUCUAUAAAUCAAUAGGAAUUAUUUGUUGAAUGUUGUUUUGUACUUUAGCUUGGUUGGCCUAGGUCACCUCGCUUAUCAUAACCAAACAAAGUUGGUUUGAGAAACUGAUUGAUAAUCCUAACUAGUGAAGCAAGAUGUUGGGAAGACCAUUGGUAAUUAGUUUAGGCUUAGAAGUCGUACCUUGUUUGGGUUAUGUCAAGCCAACAUGAAAGGUAGACUGACUGUGUUUUGCAAAACGGAGAGACUUUGGACUACAUUACAAAUCAUCCGAAGACUAGUUAUCUAAGGUUUUCCUAUGUCAUCUGUCAGAAUUUGUAAUUUUCAAGGUAGAAUGUGGUUUUGCUCUCUUAGUUUUACACUAUUAAUGUGAUUUCUCUCACUAAUUGAUGUACACAAUUUUGAAGCUUACAUAAGAGAAGAUAGUAACAAUCAUAAUGUACAGAGACUUUGCUGUGUCUACUACAAAUCUAAAAUGUAUUGCAAUGUCAAUAAGAAAACGAAAGAUAAAGAUAUGAGACACAAAAUUUUUAAUAUAGUUCAACUUGAUGAUCGAAAUACAUAUGUCCACAGGGUUGUUGAUUAAUGUAUAUUACAAUAGAAUAAUAAAGAUUUGCGUAGUGAUCAAAAUGUAUUUUGUUUUA